CCACACUGCCAUCAACGACCACGUUUCAGGUCACACUAACUCGUUUCCAGUCUUCGAGAACGGAAAAUCGCAAGAGAAUAUUUCUAGCCCUUCCACAUGGGAUUCAGAAAAGAUGCGCAGAACGGAGAACGAUAAGUUACCUCCGCCGAUAAAAAGCUGUCGAGGCCGCCAAAGUCGAUCCUCGGGUUCACGGCCGCUAAUCUCAUCGACAGGAACUGCGAACCACAGUGGAGAAAUCGUGAUACAGCUGUGCGAGCGACAACACUUGUGGUGGAGCGAGUAGUGUACCUCAACUUGCCUUUGAAGCGACUGUACGUGAUUGAUGAUUUCAUCCAGCACCAAAGCCGUACCUGUUAUCUGCGUCACGGACAGACAGAUUAGAUAGUUCACUCUCAAGUCCUUUUUUUCUGUCUCCGAAUGAAAAAGAGAGAGAGAGUUCUAAAAGACCAACAGCUUAGUCGUUUGUUUCAGCCAAAAUUUGGUUUUUGAUUCUGAUUUGGGAAAGAAAAGUCGUUCAAUCACACAAUUAACAACAAUCCCUGUCGUGGGUCUGCACAAAAGUUGCUUAGCAGAAUAAUAAUAAUUGGUUUCCUCA